ACAAUUGAUAAGAUGAUUUUAUUGUUUUCUAAUUUCAAUUUCAUUCGGGCUCCUAAAUUUACUCUAAAAUUAUCUAUAUAUUCAACCCAAUCCCAGAAAACUAGGAAUCAAAUUUUAUUUAAAAUUAAAUACACAUUAUCUCAGCUUCAUAUAUACAUUCAUUCUCAUAAAAUUUCAACUCUUCAGGUAGUCUCUCUCUCUCUCUCUCUCUCUCUCUCUCUCCUUUUCCUUUUCUAUUUCUUUUCUUUUGUUAUUUUUCCUAUUUAAUCUUGCUUUUGUUUUUUGAAAGAAAAUCGAAAGAAAUAAUACAAGGAUUUAAUCCAUCUAUGAUGCUUUAAUUAUCCCAAUCCUAUAUUGCUACUCUCUCGAUUUCUUCUGAUACAGUUUAAUUCGAGGAGUAUUAAGAUCGUAAAGUAUCAUUUUCUUUAUUCUGGUUUCAAAGAAUCUAUUAUGGCAGCAAUAUCCAUGGAAUUGCAAUUUCUAAAGGGAUCUACAUCUUCGAGCCUCCUUUUAUGGGAUCAAGUAGCAUCAUAGGUCUGUCCCCAAUCAUGUCAUUAGUUUGAUCUUUGAUAAGCAUAUUUGGAGUGUUCUUCGCAAUCAAUUUCAUACAUGUUAUGAGAUAUGGUUGAUAUUUUUAUUGGGAAAUGAG